CUUUCUGUAAGGAUGUUUAGGUUUUAUAUGUACUUUGUCUGAUGUAUAAAACACUUUAUAAACUUUAUCCAUUUAAUUCUGCUACACUGAGCACUCUGCUAUAGGAGCAUUAUCUUCACUUUACAGAUAAGGAGAUUUACAUUCACACAAAGCCAUACUGGAAUUGGGGAGGACCAGGCUCAGGGCUCCAGAUAUGACGAUAACCGCUGUGUGCUUAAGGUGGUAGAUUGUACAGCUCUUUUCCAGCACAACACUGCAGGUCAGGCCAUGGAUUUCCUUUUUUCAAUCUCCUUUUGGUUUCAGAUUGGGUUAAACCUCACUGGAUGUUUACCCUUCAUUUCAGGGAAUAGAACAGGUAAGAUUCUUUAUGAAACAAAAGCAGCUCCAAACUGAAAAGCAGGAAUGUGUCACCCACUACCCACAACUGCAAGCAUAGAUUAGUUCAGAAAUGUGAACUGGACUGGAGGUUUUGCUUUGUAGAGUGAUAUGUUUAUAUGCGAAAGAGGAGGAGAAAAGAGGAGGAAGGUCUGAAGCAUAACAGCUCAUAGAGGGAACUGUGCAAAUGCUUUUCACUAAAUUUUCCCACAACCACAUCUCUGAAGAAAGAGACAAGGAAAGGGACUCUCGGCUAACUGUUGGUCUGUGUGAAGGACUCCAGUAAAGACCUCAUCUCUGGUGUUUAAGUAGAGCUAAUGUGAGGAGUAAAGAUCAUACAGCAAAAUACAACAUCCAUUAGCUGCUUGCACAUGCAAGGACAAAAAAUCUUUGAUCCCCAAAGAAUACCUUUUUCAUGGGAGUCAGGCUCUCAGUGCAGCUCUCCUCUGUCUCCAGACACAUCACAUGGAGUCUUAAGAUCUUGAAAAUGUCCAGGAAAAAAGGUGCUCCUUGCAUUUUGCCCUGGCAUGUUUUGAAGUGUGCCUGCCCUGAGGAGGUCUUGCAGCUGUGUUUGGGACUUCAUGCUGUACAGAAUGGGAGGGAAUGUCCAUAAGCUGUCGCAGAAGAGGAGCAUGCUGUAACAGCCUGCUCCCCACACAGGUCUGAUAUACAAAAGCACUUCAUCACUGACCUAAUUUGGGUCCAUUUAAGGUAUGUAGAAAGAAAUCCUAUUGACCUAAUUACAAGUUUAUCACUGCCAGGUGCUUUUAAAUACGUCACUCUAUUCAUAGAAUCACUGAGGUUGGAAAAGAUCCCUAACAUCAUCUAGUCUAACCGUCCAUCUACCACCAAUUUUGCCCACUGAAUUAUGUCCCUAAGUACCACAUCUAACAUUUCCUUAAACAUGUCCAGGGAUAGUGACUCCACCACUUCCCUGGACAGCCUGUUCCAAUGCCUGACUUCUCUUUCUGAGAAAAAACUCUUCCUAAUGUCCAACCUGAACCUCCUGUUGUGCGACUUGAGGCCAUUGCUUCUUGUCCUAUCUCUGUCACCUGGUAGAAGAGACUGACCCCCACCUUGCCACAACCACCUUUCAGGUAGCUAUAGAAGGUAAUAAGAUCUCCCCUGAGCCUUCUCUUCUCCGGACUAAACAAUCCCAGUUCCCUCAGCCACUUUCCAUAAGACGUAUGAUCCAGUCCUCUCACCAGCUUUGUUGCCUUUCUCUGAACAUGCUCCAGGGCCUCAAUGUCUUUCUUGUCGUGAGGGUCCCAAAACUGAACACAGUACUCAAGGUGCAGCCUCACCAGAGCUGAGAGCAGGGGGAUGAUCACCUCUGAUCACCUCUGAUACAAACCUUUUUGGCUACCUGAGUACACUGUGGACCAGCACUGCCAGAUUCUUUUCCUCUGUUCAGCUUUCCAGUCACUCUGCCCCAAGCCUGUAGCUUUGCAUGGGGUUUUUGUGACCAAAGUGCAGGACUCAGCACUUGGUCUUGUUGAACUUUAUUCCAUUGGCCUCAGCCCAUCAAUCCAGCCUGUCCAGGUCCCUCUGUAGGGCCUUCCUACCCUCAGGCACUUCCUCCCAACUUUGUGUCGUUUGCCAGCUUACUUAAGAGUGCACUCAAUUCCCUCACCCAAUUCAUCCUAAUCAAUAAAGAUAUUAAACAGGAUGGACCCCAAUACCAAACCCUGAGGAACAUAGCUUCUAUCUUGAUAAUAUGCCCAUACAUUCAGGUAUUAACCUUAGGCAUAUAUACUCAGAUCCUUCUGGCGUCAGGAGCCAAAAGCUGUUGCUGAUGACACAGCACAGCCCCUGGAACCAAGCCUGGCUAUUUUGGUGCUACUGCAGUGCAGGUCUGUUCCAGGUGACAUUGUUGUGCUGGUCCUGGUGGGAUCUGUGGUUGGGAUGUGCUGUGUGACUCAGCCCAGCAGACAGCAGCUGCUCUGACACCUUGGCUACAGCACACUGUGGUGUCUAAAGAGCUGCUCUUGAUCAAUAACUUUCCUCCCCAUCUCUGUGAGCAGCAGGGUGGGAGAGGGAAUAAUCUGCCUCAGAAAGUGUCUCACUGCUCUGCUUAGCUGAGGGGUUUAAUUUCCAUUGUUUGUCUCCUGUGUCUCUUUCUGUUCUUGAUAGAUUUCCCCAGCCUCACUGAUGCUAAUCUCAUUGUCCAGGAAUCAGCAAAGGGUAAUUAGCCUCUGUGAUAAUGAUCUAUCUGUCACAAGAUCAUGCCCUCUCAUUGCACACCAUCUCGGAUGUUGUCUAACCUAGCACAGGAGUACGGAGCACAGCCAUGCACAGAGCUUAACCAAAAGGAAGCAGAAGCCCUUGCUGGGGAAGCAUGGAUGUUGCUCCACCAAUUCUGAAACAGAAAAAAACCAUAUCAUUUGUGAAGAGGUAAAAACAAUGUUAAUUUAGUAAAAAUAUUUUUAAAUGUUUUUCUUUGUGAGGCAGCUAAAACCACAGCCAGUCGCGUGUCUUGGAAAUUGCUACUAAUCAAAUUGUGUCCAUUUUCCCCAGCAAAAUGCUUUCUGCCCUGCUGUUUGUCACGUCUUGUUACUUCUGAUUAUACUGUUUGAGACUUAUGCCUUGACUUAUAUAGAACAGCACUGUUAUCUCAGCAAAGCUGGUACUUGUUUCUUUAUGGCCACUUUUUGGCAUCCAGUGGUGCAAGUUCAUCCUUUUGUUUGUACGGUGCUCAGUUCAGCUGAUGUGGUAUUUAAAUGUGAAUUGUAAAUGAGUCAGGCACCCUGUUUCAUACAGAGCCUUGCCCUGUCCUCCCUGCAAUGACAAGGUUGCUUGUAAAUGGGAACUUGCUCAUACUGGUAUCUGAGACAGCAGUGAGCAGUGUGACCAUCAGGAGAACAGCACUAAGCCAGUCAUUUCAAUUAUCUACAGUGGGUUUCUAUUUGAAUUUCACACACGUUUAAAUUGUUAUGCUAUCAGCAGGGUGUGCUCCUGUGCUCCCUAAUUCUUUUUUUUUUUUUUUUUGUUUGUUUGUUUGUUUGUUUUCAAUGAUUGUAUUUCACAUAUGAUGAAGAACUUCAAGGAAGAACUUUACUGUGAGGGUGAGUACUGGAGCAGGCUGACCAGAGAGGUUGUGUAGUCUCCUGCUCUGGAGAUAUUCAAGACCCGCCUGGACACUUUCCUGUGUAACCUGCUUUAGCAGGGCAUUGGACUAGAUGUCUCCAGAGUCCCUUCCAGCUCCUAUGUUUCUGUGAUUCUGUGAUAUUUGUGCGCUUCUACAUGUGUAGGAUGAAUGAGAGCUCUGGGUCAGGGCUGUAGUUCACCAGGAGAUGAGACAAGGCUGAGAUGAGAACAAAUAACAAUAAUAAGAGCAAUGCUAGUAAUGAGUUAACAUAGUAAAGUGGAAGACUGUGAACUUGUUUCCUUGUGCUUAUGCUACAGUCUUUGAAACCACUGAAGACAUAUGAAAUGCAAAGAAAUAUGAAAGAAAUCUGUCAUUUUUGGUUCAUCCCAGAAAUUAUAAUUUCAAGAGAUAGUAGAAUUAUUUUAUGUUGUGGACAGUUUAAAAUAUAAUGGAAAUGGGAUUUCUUUAAGUUGCCAGGGGUGCAUUAGCAGCUGCUAGUGUGAUGUGUGAUGCCUGAUAAUGUACAUGGAGGAUCAGGGGGAAAAAUCCCAACCUUCAGCCUCGGGAGAUCCUGAGGUAGCUGCCAGUGCUGCAUGUGUGCUGCCCCUGGCAGCUCAGGACAGAACCCCUGCCUUGCUUCAUAAGGAUCCUCCUUGCUUCCUUGGGAUGCCUUGGGGAGCAGCCUGGCUCCUUGGCAUGGCAGCUGGAGCAUCCUCUUCUUGUUCUGUACCUGUAAAAUAAUUCAGGGCACCGCCUGCAGAGAAGCACUGUGCUGGGAAGGCAAUGAGGAGACUCUCCAUGGCCCUUUGCUUGAGGGCAGGAUUUGCCUCUGCAUUUCUCUCUGCUAUCAUCUAGCUAUAAAACACAGGAAAUAAUCUUUUCCUAUGUCAUAGGGAUAUAGGCAGCUCAAUUAAAGUUUAUGAAGCAUGAUCUGAAAUUCUUGGAACCAGAGCAUUGUGGAUAUGCAAAGCAGGACUUUAAGUUAUUCAUUACUGUUUAUUAUACUUUGCAUCUAUUUUUUUUUUCCUAGAACAGAGGCCUGAUCAAGAAAUAUAUCUGACUUCCUGAGAAUUAGCAUGAUUUUGAGGAGAAAUGUGGUAAUUAUUAUUUAUACAUUAUAGUCUCCUUAGCACAUCAUUUCAUCCACAUACCUAGAAUAAGUUAUAUGGAACUGGAUGGUAGGAUUUUGUGCUAGGAUUUCUUUCCAGUUCCGAAAAAAUGUGAUGCUCAUGUCUACUUUUUCUAGUGAGGUACGCUUAAAGGUAUUUUGUGAUGUAACAUCUAUUUUUUCUGUUGACAGUGAUUUGUUUCUGGUCACAUAAAAUAUCUUCUAGCAUGGAUCUGACAAUGAACAUUAAGGAUUUGUUUACUAAUGAUUUAGAAAAGAAGAUUUACUCUGCUUUAAAGGCAUCUAGAAAGACUCAUUUGGUUGGAUUAGAGAUAGUAAGAAAGAAAUAAUACUCAAAGCCCAGUAUUUAAUACAUCAGUGUCACAAAAGAAAAGAGUAACUGACAAAACAGGAUGCAAUAACUGUAAGGCUACUGGUUGCCUGCUUAAAUGGUUGAGCUAAAAGAGUGGUAAACAGAGCCCACCUGCCCAUCCUUUCUUUGCUUUUCAGAAAGCCCAGAAAUGGAAGCUUUGAAUUUUGCCAGUUCUCUGCCCCAUCCCACUGUGAAGAUGAGGAGUGAGGGAAUGACUGUGUAGUUCUGAGCCAUCUGAGGAGUUAAACUGCAAAGCAAUGACAGCUUAGGGACAACAGAAGCCCUCAGAGAGCUUGGCCAUGUUUUCACAUCACUCUUCAUUGCAUCAGCUACCUGUUCUCCCUGCAGAAAACCUCCAGAAGUCAUCUGUGACAUCUUCUGCAGCUUUUUGAUCUCCUGAGAUGUGAGAGGGAUCCUGGCUGAAGGGCUUGCAGCUUUGAGAUGAGGCAGGCACAUAUGAGACAAGGCAGCCACCUCUGUUGAUCCCUCAUCCUCAUGCAUGGUAGUAAGGAAGAAAGCUAUGAAUUACAAAUUUUGAAUUUUGCUCUGGGUGUGGACUCACUGGUGGUCAUGAGUGAGGACCUCAGGUGCUUCUAGGCUGGAAGGGAAGAAUGGGACCAGAUGUACACCAGGCAGUCAAAGCGGUCGAAGCUCUGUACACCCACAGCUUGCUGGUGAGCACUGGGUUUUGAAAAUGGAGGAAGGUAAAGAGAGAACUAAUGCAGGUAGGCUGUGGCUGUUGUACGUGUGGCCAUGUGUUCCUGGUUCCUCCCUGUAUUCUCUCUAGUGAAUCUUGCUUCCUGGUUCAGUGUUUUCGUAAUAAUGGCAUAUUAAUAACUACGUAACCCACUGUCUUCUCUAUCCUUGACUCAGUUCCCAGAAGCCCCACUCCUUCCCAUCCCUUCAUGCCCCUCCCUGCCACCAUGAGAGAUGAACAGAAGCAGGCUCUCCUUCUGUAUCUCUGGCUCAGGUGACCUUUCCACAGCUGCCACUUUGAACCUGCCUCAUGGAGGGGGCUUGUGCCCCUUGUGCUCUGCUGCUCUAGGGGAGCGAGACUUGGCUCCAGCAGGCUCACAAGUACACCCCUGUAGAGAGGAGCAGGGAUAAAUGGAGGAUUAACCGCAGCUAUGUGUCUGCCGUCAAAAUGUCUAGAAAGCCUAUUUUUUAAACAACCUGAUUGCAUGUAGGAGUAAUUUCAGUGGCCUGUACUUCUUAGCUCUUUUUUUGUAUUUUGUGGUAUGUGUCAGUGAACAGAACUUAAUAAUACUUCACCCAUAUGAACCUCUGUGAUUGCAUGCAGUUUCAGCAGAAAAACAAAAUUAAUUCUCUCACUUCACAGUAGUUUUUUGGAUAAUAAGCUGACCUUUUGUAUUUAUUUUGUACAUAGAAAACACUACUAAUUCAUUAAGAUAGGGAUCUGCAGAUUAACAUUUUAAGUGUUACUGAAAACAACAAAUUAUGUUAUUUAUAGAGAUUUGAAAUUAUACCUAUUUGAGGCUGCGAGUGCACAAAAUUUAAAACAUAAGAAUAAAAAUAUCUGCCACAGAAGAUUCAAAUCUUACAGGUUUCUACAAUUUACAUAAUGUGAAAAGCAACAACAGCAAUGCUCAUGAAGAAUGCAGAUGAUGUAUAACAGAGUUGGUUCUUACUCUGAUUGCAAACCAACCAUUAAGUCACUACCAGUCUAUUGCUUUCGUUUAAAAAACCAUUAUGUAGAUGAAAUAUACUUGCUUUCAGGUAAUUCUUUUAAUGAUUAAUUUUGCUGGUAUAUCACCAUGAGAUGUCACAGUAUGAUGAUAAUUAGUAAAUAUAAUAAAACAGUAGCUAAAUGUAACAAAUGAUAUUAUAAGUAGAUCAACACUGGUUUUCUAUGAGAGACGCUGUUGAGGUUUGUCCAAAGAUUCAAUAUCAGUUUUAAUUUUUACUAUUAAAUAAUUGGUGCAGCUUGAAAGAGAGAAAUUUCUAGAGAUGGGAGUUACAUUCAUUGUCAUAAUCAACUCCAAGUACUCGUCAUUGACUGCUCUGGGAUAUUUUGGCUCACAGGGCAGCAUUAAGGCCAAUGUUUGCACCUUUAUCUCAGUUGCUGGAAUUCUCUGGUACGCACUUUCUAUUAGGAAAGGUCUAGAUACACUGAAACAUAGCACAUUUGUAAAGCAGAUGAAGAAACUAGUCAGGAGGUUUGCUGACAGCAAAUUUUGUUUAGCUAGUUUUACUAUAAGCAAUUUACUCUACAUGUGCAUUUCUGCAUUCAAAUUGUUCUUUAUUAAGAUCCUUCCCUAAUAAUAUAAAAAUGUGUUUAUAAAGCCUGUAAGUGGUUUCUGUAAUAAGAUUUUUAAUGAGUUGGAAUAUUAAAUUAAGUUUUGUAGAAAUGCUUGAGGUGUUGUUAUAACUAACUUACAAACUGUACACCAUUAACUUUAUCAUAUAGAGUAAUUUUGGUUUCUAUUCAAGCAAUAUACAGCUCCGAAAUACUAACUGUCAGAUACUUUACACUGCAAAUGGAAUUUUGCUGACUAUUUAGCAAUAAUGUCUGUGGUUAUGAUAUCUGAGCCCCACAGGGAGAGCAAUUCAGCUGGUUGGUCAACCUGGGGGUGGGCUGCAUUGUCAGGUUGUGCGCUCCGUGCUGGGUGGCAUAAAGCAGAGCAGCCCAGAAGCACCACAGGCUGCUUAGCUGGCACUUGACAGAGACUGUCUGGCUCUCUGGGGUUUACAUUCUCUCCCCUUUGCUUACAUCUGGGUUUCCUUAAAAGUAAGAAAAUGUGCAGAGAUCCCCAAACAUUUACUGUCUCAAUGGCCAGUGCACAGCAGACGAAGCAUAGCUAACCUUAAGCUGCUCAUGUUUAAAUAAAAGUGAUUAAUGAGAUUGCAGAACAAGCAGCAAACGCAGAGUUUUUCAGUUGUGUUUUUGCACUCUAUAGUUAAUACAAAAUCAUCUAACAUAAGAUGUAUAACUUAGACUAUGGUUCUUCCUUACCCCCACCUUUUUUAAAACUUCUACUGAUAGUACAGGGAACUCAUGCUCCUAACUUUUGAAAGGCAGGUCUUCCAGAACAACUGAUUUUUGCUUGUAAGCUGCUGCCCUCUUUGCUCCUGGCAAAAAUGCUGUGUGUUGAUGCAGAUGAUGGUGUAACUAGGACCCGUAUAAGUCUUAUCAUCCAAGCAAAUAUGCCUUUGCCAUAAUGGGCAAUAUUUUUCAUGACCUGAUAGAUGAGGGAUAGAUGAGUUGUGCAGCUCUCCACUGUUUGGACAAGAGGCCAUCAGCAGCUGAGGAGUGAAACAGUGCAUCACACCUCAUGUGGAUGGCAGGAGUUCUCUAAAACGGAUGAUGUGGCUACUUUUCUUAGAGGUCUUUAACUUCAUUUGUAAAUCUACGGAUGCUUUUUGUUUCUUAUUCACAUUUUACUUCACCUUAUAUACUCUUCAUCUACUUUCUCACUUCUUAUCCUUUUGACUUAUUCAAGGUUUGUCAUAUCUCAGAGUGGCAGGUCAGUGAAAAAGCUCCCACUGAGUUGGAAGAAAAUGUGUUUUGUCAUUAUUUUGAUUUUGACUUUGAGAAGUUUGAACUGGUAUAAGACAAGCUCUGCUCUUCCAAACCCUGGUGCUGUGACAGUGGACCAGUGACAACAGCUUAUCCUGUCUCAACUCCUUCAUCUUCAAAAUGAUGGUGAGGAUAUGUACCUCUGUCAAGUGCUAGGAGAAGAAAAAGCAGCAUUAUAAAUAAAACCAAAGCAUUACUGUGAUCUAUUGUGUAGAUUUAGCAUCCAGCAUUAGUUGAAGUUUCUCACCCCAGGGAAGCAUGGAGCUGCUGGCCACGUAAGCUGGAAAGUGAAAAGCUAUCUGUCACUCUGGCAAGUUGUGCAUCCCAAGUGGAGACAGCAGCACAUAGAAAAAACACAACAUGCCAUAGGGAUGGCAAUGACUUUCUUGUUUCAAGCAGAAUCUGGUUAAGGUAUACUGUUAUUACUGCUUAGUUUAAAUUAAAAUACAUUAAAUGCUGCCAGUAAACUGAGAGCUGGCAGCAUUGAGAAACACGAAGCUGCUGCUGAAUAUUCUGCAAGGCUAACUGCAGUUAUUGAGGGACUUACCAUUGCAGCAAAUGGGCUGCAACAUCAGAUUUUAAGAUACUGGGGUAGUGCUGUUAAGCUGUGGUGCAUCUCAGAUGUGCUGCCUCUCCUCAUGAGAUUGACG
ensembl:lncRNA